UGUCCGCCAAGGCGAACUUCAACAGAUCAAUGUCGAAGACAUCGUUGUUGGUGACAUAUAUAUAGUUCAAGUUAGCAACUCUUAUUUAUGUUUCGAGAAAAAUCCCAUUUAUUUGAGUUGUGUGGUGCAUAAUAAAGGUAUUCCUUCAGCAAAUUGCAAUAACCCUUCCAAUAAUCCAUAUUAAUUGAAUUAUUCCAAGUCCAACCGAGUUCAAAGCAGCAGUCUAUCCUCUUUCUUUCGCAUUUUGUACAUGUACGCAGUACAGAUAAAACAAGCUUAAAUUGGUUUCAGGUGCAAUUGUCAGCAAUAAACAUUUAUAAGUUUUAUUAUCCGGUCGGAACAAAAUUUUCUGUAUUUUGAACUUCAUCUGCUAUUUAAGCUUGCCUUGCACUGCGCUGGUUGAGUACGGCGACCUGCUGCCUGCCGACUCCAUUCUGCUGCAGAGCAGAGACUUGACUUUAGACGAGUCCUCCUGCACUGGCGUGUCUCAACCUGUGAUAAAAAGCGUCCAGUUGAACCCUUUGCUUUUUUCGGGCUGCCACGUCAUUGGGGGCGCCGGCAAGGCGCUGGUCACGGGUGUGGGCGUCAACUCACAAGCCGGUAUCAUCCUGAGCGGUGCUGACGUGGACGCAAAGGCAGCCGAAACCGAGGAGAAAUAAAUGAAAAGAAUAUCCACCAGCUCGGCUGCUUGGGUUACUGGCGGCUUUUUCAAGAAGAAGAGCCUCGGGAAAUGCGGCGAUGAAAAAGCCGAUUCAGACGAAAAAGAAGGUGGCGAUGAGAAGACCAAUUCAUAAAAGAGAAAAAAUGGCUAUGAAAAGGCUAAUUCAGAAGAAGGAAAAGGCGCCGAGGUCCACAGUAUGGAGAACAAGAUUGCUCUUGGUGCGAAGAUCGCCAAAAUCCGGAAAAUAAUCCUCAUCAAUGGCUCUUCGAUAGCUGCCUUGACGGUGGUCAUCCUCGAAAUUCGAUUCUGCAUUGAGAAAUUUGCCGUUGAGAAGAAGGAAUGGAGCGGCUUCUACACCCUCCACUUUGUCCAGUUUUGUACAGCCGGUGUAACUGUUUUCGUCGCGUCUGUGCCGGCCGGACUUCUUGUUGCCGUUGCAUUGUCUCUGCCUUCUAGGUUAUGAAGAUGAUGAAGGAUAACCACCUUGCCCGUGACUGGCACAGCUGCGAGAUACGAGGCAAGGUCACAAGGAAUUUUCACUGUUCCCUUUACCACGUUUUACUGAAAUUCUUUUUCCUCUACAAUUUUGCAUAAUUCAAGAAUGAAAAGUUAAAUCAAGCCGCAUAUUUACAACAAUUGUUCUACCAUUUUUAGCAACGCUGCAUGACCAUCGUCUUGGUUACUGAAAUUCGUUGGUUAAUUGUCAUGGAAACGGCGUUAGUUUACAGCGAAAAUUUUCUGGUGUUUAAGAUCUACCAGCGUCAGCUUAUCGCUCUGAUUGCUGGAUCAUUUUGAUUAUAACAAAAAGGAGGGAAGGAGUAGACUUUCUGUCCGUGAUCGAGGACGCCCGUACAUGUUUGCGGGUCCCAAUUGUCUCACUUUUUUCUAUGCCCGGUUGACUUAUCUCUCGAAUUUGUACCGAAACAAUUUCAGUGAAUGGUUCAAUUUCAGUGUAGUUUAGUAAAAAUGGUGCAAAUAGUGCAAAAAAGCGGCUAGUGCAAGUAUUUUAUUCCUGACAAAUGCAAUGCAAGGAGUGAGGGUAGCUUGUAGCUUGUUGACAACCCUCGACGAACGCCUAUCAAUCGGGGAACAAUGGAGCCUUAAUUAAGCACGCUCAGGUCGGCCUCGUCUUCCUAUACCCUCUCCUACCCUCAUGGCCAGCCCUAGCUCUUCCUACCGCCUUCCAAUCUGCGAGUUGCGUGUCUGCGACGGAAUCUGACUCUACUCAAGUCAAGUCAGUUUUAAACUUGUGUUUUCCUCCGUGCAUUGUACGAUGGCUGGACAGAGAAAAAAAGGUAGAUGAAAAGCCCACUAGUUCUGCUAGACAAAAGUCUUAAAUCAAAUCAGCUAAGUUGGAGAUGAAAGUUUGCAAACACUGCAAAGAGAUGUCUGUGAGCGGGGCAGAUCAGACAGACAUCUUUGAACGCUGCGAAGACUUCAUUUAUAUCAGCUGUUAGAAGUUGAGCUCUGAUGAAUACUCGUUUCUCCAGAGCACUAAAUUACUUCAUUGGCUUUGUCGUGACUGCGAAGAACCAACCCUUGGUAUUUGAAAAAGGGAAAAGGCGGUGGCAGAGCAAGGCAAUGAGACGAAAUCGCUGUAUGAUGUAUUACACGCCUUGAGUGAGAUGGUGCGCUCGUUGAG